rfam:Schistosoma haematobium scaffold560_12, whole genome shotgun sequence.
AUUCGAUUGAUGAGUCCCAAAUAGGACGAAACACGCGUCCUGGAU